AGAGUAAGCUAAUCUCUUAAAGCGUUCUCAGUUCGGACUGUAGGCUGCAACUCGCCUACACGAAGUCGGAAUCGCUAGUAAUCGCGCAUCAGCCAUGGCGCGGUGAAUACGUUCCCGGGCCUUGUACACACCGCCCGUCAAGCCAUGGGAGCCGGGGGCGCCUGAAGUCCGGGACCGCGAGGACCGGCCUAGGGCGAAACUGGUAACUGGGGCUAAGUCGUAACAAGGUAAC
rnacentral:rRNA from 1 species